GAUGAAGAACGUAGCGAAAUGCGAUACUUGGUGUGAAUUGCAGAAUCCCGUGAACCAUCGAGUCUUUGAACGCAAGUUGCGCCCGAAGCCGUCAGGCCGAGGGCACGCCUGCCUGGGCGUCACACGCCGUUGCCCCCCCCGCGCCCCGCACCCAACUCUUUGGGAGCGACCGCGGGGCGGGCUGAUGAUGGCCUCCCGUGCGCUCCGCCGCGCGGUUGGCCCAAAUACCGAGUCCCCGGCGACGUGCGCCACGACGAUCGGUGGUUGAGAGACCUCUGUCGCAAGUCGUGCGCGCCCGUCGCGUCACGCGGGCUCGCAUAGCGCCUCGCGCCGCACCCGGUGCGGAGCUUUCAACGCGACCCCAGGUCAGGCGGGGUUACCCGCUGAAUUUAAGCAUAUCAAUAAGCGGAGGA
rnacentral:misc_RNA from 1 species